rnacentral:rRNA from 1 species
UACGUAGGGGGCAAGCGUUGUCCGGAUUUAUUGGGCGUAAAGAGCGUGUGAGGCGGCCAUACAGGUCAGCUGUGAAAACUCGAGGCUCAACCUCGAGACGUCGGUUGAAACCGUAUGGCUAGAGUCCGGAAGAGGAGAGUGGAAUUCCCGGUGUAGCGGUGAAAUGCGCAGAUAUCGGGAAGAACGACCUAUGGCGGAAGGCAGCUCUCUGGGACGGUACUGACGCUGAGACGCGAAAGCGUGGGGAGCGAACAGG